ACCCUUGUGGAGGAGGACGCCGAAGGUGGGGCUAAUGACUGGGGUGAAGUCGUAACAAGGUAGCCGUACCGGAAGGUGCGGCUGGAUCACCUCCUAACAGGGAGACAACAAAAUGUUUAAUAUUAUUAUUUUGUCACCUUAGGUCGAUCGGUAUCUCACGUUUUUAAUUUAUUAAGAAUUUCAUUUCCUAAGUUUUUCUAGGUCACACCCAUUAUUUUUCCUGGGCCAUUAGCUCAGGUGGUUAGAGCGCACCCCUGAUAAGGGUGAGGUCCCUGGUUCAAGUCCAGGAUGGCCCAUAUCUCUAUGUUGGGGGUAUAGCUCAGUUGGUAGAGCGCCUGCUUUGCAAGCAGGAUGUCAGCGGUUCGAGUCCGCUUACCUCCACUGAUCACCACCUCUUCCAUAAUUGGUAGAAAGGAAAUUUUUUGAGUUGUGAUCAAAUUCUGAAAGAAUCUAGCUUCCUAAUGAAAUCAUUAAGAUGCUGGACUCAUUGAAUUAAUUUCAUUGUUUUCAGAGAACCUUGACAACUGCAUAGAUUAUUUUUAAAGACAAUAAGCAUCUUUAAUGAUGCAGAUUUAUUAUUUGUGCAAAUGCAUUAAUAACAAUUCUAUUAAGCUGAUGCUUCAAAAUUUGAAGUUAUUGGUCAAGCUACAAAGGGCUCACGGAGGAUACCUAGGCACACAGA
rnacentral:misc_RNA from 1 species